rnacentral:tRNA from 1 species
GAGGGUAUAGUUCAAGUGGUAGAGCACAUGCUUAGCAUGCACAAGGUCCUGGGUUCAAUCCCCAGUACCUCCU